rnacentral:rRNA from 1 species
UGGCGGACGGGUGAGUAACGCGUGGGCAACCUGCCCUGUACUGGGGGAUAACACCUGGAAACAGGUGCCUAAUACCGCAUAAGCGCGCUGUGCCGCAUGGCGCGGCGCGGAAAACCCCGGUGGUACAGGAUGGGCCCGCGUCUGAUUAGCUGGUUGGCAGGGUAACGGCCUACCAAGGCGACGAUCAGUAGCCGGCCUGAGAGGGUGGACGGCCACACUGGGACUGAGACACGGCCCAGACUCCUACGGGAGGCAGCAG